rnacentral:rRNA from 1 species
GAGAACCUUACCUGGCCUUGAAUGUCCGGACUUUGCAGAGAUGGAGAGUCCUUCGGGAAUCGGAACACAGGUGCUGAUGGUGUCGUUAGCUCGUGUCGUGAGAUGUUGGGUUAAGUCCCGUAACGAGCGCAACCCUUGUCCUUAGUUACCAGCACGUUAAGGUGGCACUCUAAGGAGACUGCCGGUGACAAACCGGAGAAGGAGGGGAUGACGUCAAGUCAUAUGGGCCCUUACGGCCAGGGCUACACACGUACUACAAUGGUCGGGACAGAGCGUUGCCAACCCGCGGAGAGGGAGCAAUCCCAUAAAACCGAUCGCAGGCCCGAAUGCAGUCUGCAACUCGACUUGCGUGAAGUCGGAAUCGCUAGUAAUCCCGAAUUAAGAAGGCACCGGGAAUACGUUCCCGGCCUUGUACACACCGCCCGCACACCAUGGGAGUUGGUUGCUCCAGAAGGAGCUAGCCUAACCGAGGGGGGACGGUUUCCACGGAUUGUUCAUGAUUAGGGUGAAGUCGUAACAAGGUAAC